rnacentral:rRNA from 1 species
CCUACGGGAGGCAGCAGUGAGGAAUAUUGGUCAAUGGCCGGAAGGCUGAACCAGCCAUGCCGCGUGAAGGUCAGUGCCCUAUGGGCGUUAAACUUCUUUUGUGCGGGAGCAAUAAUGGUCACGUGUGGCCAGACGAGAGUACCGUACGAAUAAGCAUCGGCUAACUCCGUGCCAGCAGCCGCGGUAAUACGGGGGAUGCAAGCGUUAUCCGGAUUUAUUGGGUUUAAAGGGUGCGUAGGCUGUGAGGUAAGUCAGCGGUGAAAUGCCCCCGCUCAACGGGGUGAAGUGCCAUUGAUACUGCCUGGCUGGAAUGCGGAUGCCGUGGGAGGAAUGUGUGGUGGAGCGGUGAAAUGCAUAGAUAUCACACAGAACACCGAUUGCGAAGGCAUCUCACGAAUCCGCGAUUGACGCUGAUGCACGAAAGCGUGGGUAUCAAACAGGAUUAGAUACCCCAGUAGUC